AUUCCAGCUCCAAUAGCGUAUAUUAAAGUUGUUGCAGUUAAAAAGCUCGUAGUUGAAUUUCUGGUGGGAGUGUACAGUCCGACACUGAGUGUUGGUUCUUGUGUGUCUCCGGCCAUCCUUGGAGUGAAUCUGUCUGGCAUUUAGUUGUUGGGCAGAGUAUCUCCAUCGUUUACUGUGAGGAAAGGAAAGUGUUCAAAGCAGGCUUACGCCGUUGAAUCUUUUAGCAUGGAAUAAUAAUCUAGGACUUCGGUUCUAUUUUGUUGGUUUCUAGUACUGAAGUAAUGAUUGAUAGGGAUAGUUGGGGGUGCUAGUAUUGAGCGGCCAGAGGUGAAAUUCUUGGAUUCGCUCAAGACUAACUUAUGCGAAAGCAUUGACCAAGGAUGUCUUCAUCA
rnacentral:rRNA from 1 species